UCAUCCAUGAACUUCACACUUCACCGAUUAUCAAAGAGGAGCAACUAUGGAAAACACUGCUGACACGAAGGGCGCAUACGUGGCACACAUUCCAGUCACAGCCUGUUCACCUCGCACUGAAUCGCAAGUGGGGCGAGCGCCGGCGCUUGACACAGAACGCUGUGCAGGCCCCACGGUGGCUGCAGCUUCCCAGAGAUGGAGAAGGACCGUCUGCAGCGGUCCAACGCGCGCCACGUGUCCGCCGGGGCCAGCCAGCCGCCAUCUGCCCUGAAGACAGGACUGCCUGGCGCUCUCUCCCCACUGCAAUAAAAUUCAGCAGGGAGAACAAAACAGCUGUCGGGGAAGUUCUCCCGCAAAACAACGAGGCGGAGUGUGUGCUUGGAGGAGGGCGCAGAGUUGCCGUGCACACACGAGAAGAAGAUAGCAGGGAUGAGUGAGAGCGAAAGCAAUGCGUCUUAACAGGUAAAUCUUUCCGCGCCCUCUCAGGGUGCCGCGGUAACAGGCGCUUAAUGGUUAAGCCCAAUGGGAUGGUUUGCCUCUUUGGGGAGGCGCGACUUCAGCUCCAACCCCGAGACAGGAAUCAGCGGAACUGUUGCUGAAAAAACAGCAGGAAACCGGUUCUGUAAAUUGGAAAUCGCCAACAUGCAUGCGCGUCCUCGCACACGGAGCCCCGGACGCGCUUGCGCCCUUUCUCUGCUGCUUGGAUUUAAAUUGAAUUCUCUUAUCUGCGCUCGCACCCUCGCUCUCGCCACGCGCAUCCUUCAAGACACCAGACUGCAGCUCAGACCCCCUUCUUCAUCCCACGACGACGUCGAGAGGCGAAUCACGCUUACGGUGGGAUCGGCUGUAAUUGAAAACCUGCCACUUUGUAAAGUGGUGCACAGCCUACUUUGCAAAGCCUUUUUUUAUGAAGGAGACUAAAGCAUGUGCACGUGUGCAAACAGAGGCGCUGUUGGCGUUCGGGGGGCCCCCACCUUGAGAUUAUCCACAGUAGACGAGACUCAAAGAGAAGCAGCAGCCUCUUUCUUGCACACUCUCCGGGAGAGAAUGGCCUCCUGAUCGUCAAUCUCGCAGAUGAAGAAUUAACUUUUGUGCGUUAUCUUUUCGUUUUUUUCAUUCCCACCAACACGACCGAAAACACGAGAACAUGAAGCAGCAUGACAAGAAGAUUUGUGUACAGUACCAACAGGAGCUUAGAUCAAGGGGGGGUUUAGUGUACACAGAGGAACCCAUUUAGGGUUUUACCACCCUGCCCAUGACAAAAGGCUUUACAAACAACCCCCACAGCACACACACACACACACACACACACACACACACACACACACACACACA